UACAUACAUUAAUAUUAAUGAUCGAUCAUGGUCGUAUUAAUAUACAUACAUACAUAUGCGUAAAAGCAGGAAAUGCAUACAUAUGUACAUGUAAAUGUUUCUUUCGUAUAGAAAUGGUCACGCAUAUUUUUGUCUUAUACUUUUUAAUUACCUAGUGUGACGUUCCAUUCCUUAUUUUUAUUAUAAUUUAAUUUAUCUAUAAAUUCUAUACUUAAUAGUCGCUUUUGAGUAUUGUCUCAAUACUGAUUUGUUAUUGUUAUCUAUAAAUUACGAAACUCCAUCUUGAAUAUUGUAAAAGAACACAAGAGUCGAUUAAAAAGUGAGUGGUGAAUUUGAAGGUCUGAUAUUUUACGCAACAAAAUUUAAAUUGCGUUUAUAUAUUAAUACCAAAACAUUGGAAUGUUUUACUUAACUUCGGUUCAGCUCCAUCUAGUACAUAUCGUACAUAUAUAUGUAUAUAUACAUAUACAGCAGUUUCAUGUUUUGUCGAUAAAGUUUCCUCAUUUAAAAUUCCUCUUUAUAUCGAAUAAAAGAUACGAGACAAUCUAAUCCAUGAAUUCGUCAGAGAAAACUUGUUAAGAAUAUUUCAUUCUUUUCUUCCGAUGCUGAAUUCCAUUUACCUUUUUCUUAAAAAGAUAAUAGAAUUUUUAAUGAACUAAAUUACACAUACCGUCAGCGAGAUUUCUCACAGAGAAAUAAAGGAGGACGUUCUUUUUAUAUUUAAGAACAUUAUGUUAUAAAGUAUAGUGGAAAAAACUGGAAAUUGAAUGGAAAAUUUUCUUUGUCGUCUUCAUUUGCUUUUUUAAUCGGGUAUAAUGAACAUUCUUAUCAUAUAUUUGGAUACCAAAAGGAAUGAGAAUGGAUAUAGCUUCUUUUCGAAGUGAGCACUGAAAUAUAACGAUCUACGCAUUAAUUUAGAUUACUCUAAAUUUAAUUGAUUGGUAACGUUGAUUAUGUUAACUAUUAAUUUUUGAGCGAAUCCAACUUACGAUAUUUUAUUCCAAAAUAUGUAUAAACGUAUAAAUUUAUAUAAUAUUAUUACACUUAGUUUUAGCUGCUUCUUUAUUACGAAAAAGUUUAGCAAUAUUCAUUAAUAAUUACAAAAAAAAUGCAUUAAGGAUACUUAGAAAACUUCAUGUUAUUUAAAAGCACGAAGUAUGGAAUAAAAAUGUGGUGGAAGAUCCUACAUAUUUAACGGUGAAGUUUCUCAAAGAGAAUAUCGAUUUCAUGCUAAAUCUAGCAUGCAUUAUCACGGACGGCGCCGAGUAUAAUUCCUUGGCCGAUUUCGUGACAAUGAGUAAACGAGGAGCAAACCUGGGUUGGAGAAGUUGGAAGUCAGCGGAGUCUUUCGACAAUUUUCAACGGGUUCGAGGCGAAUAUAAAAGGGAAAUUGAGCUUUCGGGACGAAACGAGGGUCUAAGGCGAACAGGAAACCAUUAGUUCACAGGAAAAAGGGUGAAAUUAUUGAUGUCAAAUGGUGCCACUUGGCCAGACAUGCGAAUAAUGCCGCUUCUCCGCUCACGCCUUUAUACAUAUACGCAAACUGCGUUUCGUUCCAACCAGGGACCAUAAUUGUUCCAAUCAAAAUUAAGAAAGAACGUCGUGCAGAAUGGUUUACGCCUUCAAAUGUCAUAAUCUUCUUCUCUACGACUUGUACGAGGUAAGCGGCUGCCCACGUAUCGUUAGAUUUGAGGAUCCCUGUGCACCCCGUUGCUUAGGCUGACCUAAUUUCGUUCAUGUAAGGAGGUUUGCCCGCAUACAGGGAUCUUUCGACCGAUUUUUAAUUGUCAAUAACUAAAAUACAAAGCCGAAAAUGCAAUUUUUUUA